AUUAAUUUAGGCCUGUAGUGUACUUAUGAGAGCUCCACUCCUAGCAUUGUAACAGAUGCAUUUCAGGCAGCGGUGGCCCUUUUGCCCACCACAAAAUUCUGUGUCCCAGGACUGUUAAGAGAGAAAGUCAGUAGGGGUGUGUGGUGCAUUUUGCACACAUUAUUGCACAAUCAGAUUCAGGCAGCACCCUGCCCCUCCCAAUUUGGUUUCUUCUUCACACACAUUUGUUUCCUUGCAGCAACAAUUCUGCUAGACAAAUUCUUCCAGGAAAGAGACAUUGUCAGAACUCCUUCAGGCAGCGGAAGACAGGACAUGGUGCCACCAGGAUGAACCUCCAGCCAUCUUCUUUCUGGUUGUCCUUUGGAAGGCUAGGAAGAGAGUCUUGCAAACAUAGGAAAGAUGUUGUGAGGACCCUGAGCACUGCAUUCUGCUUCCCCGGAAGCUGGACUGAGCCAUGUCCUUGUUGUCCUUCCCGUCUGUGGUCUUGUCCAGAUAUUUCAGGUGAGUGGUCAAAUCCUUUGGUCCUGGCUGAAUCUAGAACUUGCAGAUCCUUAGCUGGAUGUGGGACUAUUUUCAUUGGGGUCCUGGGUGAGGAAAAACAGUUUCUUUACUUAAUGUGUUUUGAUAUCUUUGAAAUCGUGAUUAGAAAUUUUAAAGGAGCAGCUAAAUGCAUACUCACUGGAAGCGGUAGACCGAAUAGAUCUUAACUUCCAAAGCUGCUGUAGCCCUCCGUGAAACCAAAUUGUGCUUUUCAAGUCUCCAAAAGCUUCCCUUCUUCUCUCCCACAACAACUAUUUCUGUUGCAAGGUAAAGCUAAGUAAAUAAACAGACGGCUUGUUGUAAAUGGAAGGAACAGAACAGCACCUCUUUUCUGUGGAAUAGGAAGCUAAUGAAAGGGGAUUUUUCUCAUUUAGGACUGCUGCAAACCUCCCAAAAUGCAGGGGAGAAAAAAGCAAGAAGAAAGGAUUUUGUAUGUUUUUGCCAUAAAGAGAUGAUAAUUGUUUGAGGAGAUAGAUAUACUUUUCCCAAUUUGAAUGUUACACAAUGUAUCCAUGUACUGAAACAUCACAUGGUACCCCAUAAAGAAGUAUACCCCUUUUAUGUAUCAGUUACAAAUUUAACAAGAUAAUUAUGCAGCAGAAGGAGGUGACACAUUCCUCUUAAGACCCCAGUUCAUUGUCAUGGUGGCAUCUGCACCCUCUGCCCUGAGAAUACAAAGGCCAAUCAGUCCCAGAGCUGUUUAGUCUAGAGAAAGAAAAGAAACAGAGAAAAUAGAAGAAGCAGUGAAAACAGCAAGAAUGAGAUUUCCUCUGGCCAUGUGGCACAGAUAGUGAGCUGGUGAGAAAAGCCCGGAUGGGACUUGGGUCUUUGAAAAGGCAUCACCGUUUCCCUGUGCUAAGAUGAGGCUGUUGGUGAAAAUGAGCUUUGGCAUUCAUUUAUUUGUGCCCUUCUUAUUAUUAAGUGUGCAGCCUGACGACCACACAAGCAGCACACCUGUGCCUUCAGCCCCAGCGGAGACGUGGGCUGCGCCAGCUUCCCCAGUGACCCUCGUGCCCUCGUCAUCACCCUCACCAGCGAACCCACUAUCUCCCCACAGUCCAGAUGAGCUUCGUCUCAUGCAGGGAUUGAAAAAUGUACUUUUGUGUAUGAGUACCAAGGAAAAAAGCCCUCGUAAUUUCUUACAAGAGUUGGAGGGGGCAGAAAUUGUGUAAUGGUUUCUUUUCUCUGGCCGCUCUUAGUUAAACCCGUUAAGCUGGAAGUGUUCAAGUUGGGUGCUGGCUGGUAUCAGGUUUAAAUCGACUGGUCUCUGCGGCCCAGGAUGUGUCCAGGCUUCAAGCCAGUCACCUGCUCUUGGCAGUAUCUCUGCCAAAGGCAGCCAUGUGCCUUACCUACCUUGCCAAAGCCUCUGUCACAUCUUGCAAAGACACAGGGCUGAAAACAUGAGGAAGGGGACACCAAAAUAGCCAAGAGUUCUCUGAAUGUACUGGCCUUCUGGAAAGUAAGGCCAGGCUCAGCCACUAAAACAGAUUACCUGAGGUGGACAUUUUUGUCCAACUUCCGAACUUCUGAAUGAGAGCAUGAUUGAUUAAUUUCCCUUCCUCAGCAUAGAUCUCAUAGUAUUUGUUUUCUUCCUUUUUUUUUUUUUUUUGAGAUAGGGUUUCUCUAUGUAGCUUGAGCUUGAGCUACAGCUAUCACUCUGUAGCCCUGGCUGGCCGCAAACUCGCAGGGAUCCUCCUGCCUCAGCCUCCCGAGUGCUGGGAUUACAUUGUAUGUCUUGAUGUGCUUUCUGUCCCCUUUUCUUUUUGCUGCAGGAGGCAAACAAUACAAAGGCGGGGAUAAAGCUGUGGAACAUACAUUGUAAUAUGUCUGGAGCGGCAUCAGAAAAGGACUUAUUUGUUCUCCUGGGCUGUGGAGUGAUUGAAUGCUCGCCAAACUGUCAGUUUUAUGAAACAAAUUCCCUAACCCCCUUGGCCCAGAGCUUUGCUCAGCCUGAGAUGGAAAAGAAAUAACUUUUAAUAGAAAACUCAUUGCUAAAAUCUAAGAUAAGAUUUCAGAGUUACUUCUCUCCGAAGAAUAAAAUGAAAUACUGAAGCAAGCAGUUGAUGGGGG
rnacentral:lncRNA from 1 species